GGCCUCGCCGCCCGGUCCGCUGUCGCAGCGCUCAUCCGCGCCGGGAGCCCUUGGCUGCGUCGCCCGGCAGCCGCGUAAAGACGCUGCGAAUUGACGCCUUUUAUAAUAAAGACACUUAUCUUGCCCAAGAGCUGGGGAGCAUUUCCUGAAGACGUAGUCAUGCAGCACGUCAGCAGCUCCCAGAGCAGCCAGCGCCAUGUCCAGUGGCCUGGGGCCUGCCCCGGCGCGGGCGAGGAGCAGCCAGCGUGCUCCCAGCCGUCCCUGCCCCUCACACUGCCAUCCCCCAGCCACCAACUACAGCAGCUGAUGCCCUUCCAGGACUGCCGUGCCCCCAGGCCUUUCCAGCCUCCCACUCACGUCUGUGGGGAACACGGGAAUGAAGAAGGUUCCCAAGAAGUUAGAGGAGAUUCCCCCAGCCUCUCCGGAGAUGGCACAGAUGAGGAAGCAGUGCCUGGACUAUCAUCACCAGGAGAUGCAGGCUCUGAAGGAGGUCUUCAAGGAGUAUUUGAUUGAACUGUUUUUCUUGCAACACUUUCAAGGGAACAUGAUGGAUUUCUUAGCUUUCAAGGAGAGACUGUAUGGACCAUUACAAGCAUAUCUUAGGCAGAAUGAUUUGGACAUUGAAGAAGAGGAAGAGGAGCACUUUGAAGUCAUUAAUGAUGAGGUAAAGGUUGUGGCCAGAAAGCACGGGCAGCCUGGGACUCCUGUUGCCAUAGCAACCCAGCUACCGCCGAGGACUUCUGCGGCUUUUCCAGCCCAGCAGCAGCCGCUCCAGGUACUUUCUGAUGGCUCCACAGUGCAGCUCCCCAGACUUUCCUCACUCGGAUUUGAGGACUCGAUGUGCUGAGGCAGGACCCAGAGGGGUCCCAAGAGCCUGUCCUCUUUUGUUCAAAAUACAUCUUGAAACGUCUUUGUGAAGGCUCUUAGUUUUAAUGCAUGGAUGCUGUUAUUUUUCCCUACUGUUACUGAAAUUAAAAAGUGUUUGUCUCUGA
rnacentral:lncRNA from 1 species